AAGCCUGACGGAGCAAUACCGCGUGAGGGAGGAAGGCUUUUGGGUUGUAAACCUCUUUUAUUCGGGAAGAAGAUCUGACGGUACCGAAUGAAUCAGCAUCGGCUAACUCCGUGCCAGCAGCCGCGGUAAUACGGAGGAUGCAAGCGUUAUCCGGAUUUAUUGGGCGUAAAGGGUCCGCAGGUGGCUGGUCAAGUCUGCUGUCAAAGCGCGGAGCUUAACUCCGUACAGGCGGUGGAAACUGGUCAGCUAGAGUCUGGUAGGGGUCACGGGAAUUCCCAGUGUAGCGGUGAAAUGCGUAGAUAUUGGGAAGAACACCGGCGGCGAAAGCG
rnacentral:rRNA from 1 species